CUCAGUCGCCUGCCUGCCCUCCCCAUGUUGGCAUGCCGCAAGACAGAAGCUGAAUUGGAACAGCUGCUGGAAUUCCUAGGAGCUGGUGGCUGGCAGGAGCGCAUGCCUUGCCCCAGACUUGAUACUACAAAUGGGUGCCUGGGGGACUACAUUUCCCCGCCUGCCUUGCUCUGUGGUUAAGAGAGAGACAGAGAGAGAUGAGAAUGGCUGGAGCCAUCCUGAGCCAGCAUGGUCCCAUCACCCUCGAGGGGAGUUCCAGGCAACCCCUGCUUAUGGAGCUGCAACCUCAGGCAGCCUUAAGCCACAACUACUUCACAGAGAUCGACAGGGCCGCCCAGAGGAUUCAGGGGGCCUGGGGCAAAGCAAUUUCAGGGGCCCCUUCCAUAAAUAAAAGCUGCAAUACUACAGAAUACUAUAUUUUCGUGGGGGCCCCUCUGGGGCUGGGGGCCUGGGGCAAAUUGCCCCCCCCUCUGGGCAGCCCUGGAGAUCGAGGUCUCCCACUCAGUGACCAACCACCUUCCCUACUCCAGCAGCAUUUUUAACGGCAACCCUGGACCAGGUGAGUGGGUUCUGGAGGGUUUCUCUUACAAGCUGCAGAGGAUCUCUACACUUCAUUACAGCAGAGUUAAGAUAAAAAUUGUAGCGAGAACAUCUAAUGUCUGGUCUCAUCAGCCGUAGAGCUGUCUGACCCACAGAACAACGGGCUCCCUUUCUGGUGAAAUUUGCCCCGAAAAAUGAAUCCCGCUUUUUGACCAGCUGUAGUUGGCCAGAAGCAGAAGCACUGACAUGGGGGCUGUGCUUAAGUCUAUCCUCCGCUGAUGUGCUUCACACCAGCUAAGGAUAUGCCCCAUAGUACUCCCGGCAAGUCCCAGCCUAAGAAGAAACAGUCCUCUCUCCACUGGUUCCAUUCCUAUGAGAUCACUAACCUGAUGUGAAAUCCAUCGGGGUCGGACACAACCAGUCCUCCCAGCGAACCUUUCUGAGUUCACCCACUACUGAAAAUCCACCAGCACCAGUGCUGAAGGAGUCAGGUGUGCAUCAAGCAGGAUGCUUUAGAAGUUGCUUGGAGGUUAAAGUUUAACUCCUAGUUCUAAAUAUCAAACCUGAAUCUGGAUUCCAGUUUCACUGCUGGCUUCUUUCUGUAAACUUUGCCAAAACAACUCCCCUCCCACAGGGCAGGAUCUGAACACCCCAUCGGGUUAGUGAGAAAUUCAAAGUCUACCUCUGGAUCUGAAUUGUGCAGUCCAGUCCCAGAUGUUCAGGGAAUAUUGCAAUGAUCAGUGCAGACAACACCGCUGCCCAUAAGCGGUGCUGUAUCAUUAUCUGAAUACAUCCUCUCUGCAGUGUUGUGAGCCCAAACGCAACGGUACUGGGCCAGCGCAUAAGAACCAGCGAUGUGAAACCAGCCCGAUGCAGAUAUGGAAUUAACCAGCUGGGUGUCCCAGUCCCAGCUGAGUGACGUGCAGAAGAUAAACACGCAGCAUCGGUGGUGAAAGGUAAAGUUGGCUGAUGAAAUUGUUCAAGGGAUGUGUCUGGCAUUUUCAAUAGACGUCAAUGCAGAAGUGAUCAGAAAUGUUCAGAAGGUGACAAUUGCUCCUCAAGUUCCAGAUGUUCAAACACAGGCCGGGCUCCGCUUGUUAUCUUGGUUGCCUAGAAGCAUCUGACAGAUUGCAGUGAAGUCAUAUUUACAAUUGCACUCACUCAUGGCAUCGGUGGACUUGCCGAAAAGAUGGGCCAGGUCAGCACUGAAUGACUGAGGAGCGAAUCAUGCAACACCCGCCUGCUCUGGCCCCAUCCUCUGGAUUGCUGCCCUGCCUGUGUUCGCUCCAGUAGGUUGUGCCGGGGGGGAUGUGGAGCCGGCAGAGUGCCACGCGGUGAUUCCUAGCUGUUUCCCAAAGUGUGGGAAAAGUGCAAUCGUUCCAAACAAUCAGAAACCAAACAUGCCAGCAACAAGCAAUAAGCCGGUGAGGAAUUCAAAUGUGCAUUCCAGAGGAGGGAUGACCGAGUGGGUGUUGGCUGCUGCGGCUGGGAGCUGGGACAGUAGCUCCGGAACAUGCUCCAGUUUGUUCUCCCUUGUUGAAUCCUCCAUACGGCUGCUGAGUAAGGAGGGGGAUGUGCAGUGCCUGGGUGGGGCUGGGAGAUGGGAAGCUUAGAGGAAAAUGGGGGCAUAGCUAGGAUGUCUCCUCCCUUCUUCCCUGUAAACUAGGGCACCUCGUUACCCAAGGCGAGUCAGCCUUGGGACAGAGGCCACCAGUGCUAGAGGUCAGCAGCACAGCUGGGCCUCUGCAUCCCGUUUGCUACAACGCUGUGGAGCUGUGUCCAUGUGAGAACUUCUGCAGCACAGCCAUGCGUGCGCCCCCCACACUUUCCAGGCCACUGGCCUGUAUCAGCGCAAGUGCAUCCAGGGGAAAUCUGGCUAUCCCAUAGUGCCUCAGGAAGGGGACAGAGCUGCCAUUGGGCAUGCCUACAGAGCAACUCCAGCAACCUUUGGGACACGGCCCUGUGGGAUGUCCCGCUGCACAGAAGUGGAACGGAGCAGGACUAGCUAAACAGGUUAUGACGCAAUGGUUGGAGGUGGGUGGUCCCAUUUACACUGCAGAUAGCCUGGGCCAUUGGCAGAGCGAGCAGCACAUUCCUGCUGUGACAGUUCCUAACCGAACUCCCAAAAAGAGCGCGUGUCGCCCCUCAUGUCACCCGGACUAACAGCACAGACGCUGCGCCACGGUGCUAAGUCCCUUUUAUCUCGGGAAGCUGCCCCCCUUGCCCGUCCCAUGGCCUAAGCAGGCGUGAGUGUGGGGCCAUUGCUAUCCCAUCAUGCAACGCAUGCGGAUAUCACAGACAGCCCCACCCGUUGUACAUAUGCCAGCUUUGGUCACCGUGAGAAUGCACCCUCUGUGGGAGGGAAGGCGGAGACCAAGAGCCGUUCCUGGGGAUCGGAUCGGGGCUCCGGGUGGGCGCUGCAGGCCUGCAAACCUUCGAGGAAAGGGUGGGGAGCUCGCUUGGCCUCCACCGGGCUCAUGUCAUGCUGUCUCUCCGAGCAUUAAACUCAGAUGAACAACAACGAGCAUCUUUUGUGCAACAUUGCCUCCCUGGCCGUCUAUGAAUCCCUCCUCCUCUCUCCUCCGUCACGUGGGUCCAUCCAGUGGGCAGUGGCUCAUUUCAAAGACACAAAUAAGGGUUACAUGGCUAGAGUGUGCAGCGUGCACCGUGCCAUCUUUCACUCAUCGCUUCAGGCAGCGCGGCCAGCCGGGAGCUAGCAGCAUUCAAUUGUUCACUGAUGCUUUUCUUUGAAGCUCUCAUUCAUCCUCCAAGGUCUGUAUUGAUUGGGGACUCCAGGAAAGCAUCUGCCCUCCUCUGCCUUCAUCAAUGACUUUCCCACAUUAAUCCACCUCUUCCCUUGAUAACCACACUAAUUACUCUCCGCUAAGUUGACUUCAGAAGGUCAGUGGAGGCUGGGAAGAUCAACGUGUUACGUGUUCUGGCAGCAUCUUAAAGCUACAGAGCCCUGUCAGCGAAUGGUCCUUUGGUGAAGGACAGGAUUGGGCAUACCUUAUAGAUGGGGAGAAAGGUAUAUGUGCCUUGUAGAGCUAGCUAGGGUAUUCAAAGGUGCAUCGCUUGGGCAGAGAAAAGACAAUCUUGUGGUUAAGGCACUAAACAAGGAUGCAGGAGAUCUGGGCAGGGAAUAUAGAUUCCUGACUGCAUACAGACCUUGAGAAUCGCUCAGUCACUGAGGGCGUCACUUUGCCCACUGUAAACUGGGGAUAAUCUUCUUUUGGCUACUGAGAUCGCAAAUUCUUUGGAACAGGGAUUGUCCUUUAGGUCCUGUCUAGACCAGAGUUUUUGGGGCCCAACUUUACCACACCUUGAGUGAGGUCUGGUGUGGAGGUUGUUUUCAGAAAGUUACGGAUUUGAUAUAACAGAGGUGAGGAAGCCAGUUUCUUGUGGCUUCUUCUGUACAUUGAGCAAAGCAUCUGCUUCCAGGCAGUGAAACCUUCAGAUUAAGGAAAACAACAGGAAGGAACAAAAGUAAAGUCUCCAGGAAAGGGCACGGUGGUGUGUGUCUCUUUUGGAAUAUGCUCUGGCCAUUCUGAGGACAAAAUGGGUGACGAGCUCUGAACUAAGGAAGAGUUCUUAGAAAUUUAAAGGUGCAGUAGACAGAGAAGAAAAAGCAUCACAAGUUAUCCAAGCUACAUACCCAUAUUUCUCCCUGUCUCUGAUUGCGACAUGGACUCCGCUGUAUGCUAUCUGCUGAAAGCAGGCAAGGUUGGUCACACCGCGUUCAUUGGGUCUGUGCUGAAUAUUAUAGGCGGGGUUUUGUGUAGGUGAGGGACCUGCAUGUCAGAGCUGAGCUGUACAGGACCAUUGGACUGCUCUACAAACAAAUCACUUCAAAGCUUUUGGCUUGGUAAAUACGGCCUGCAUAUCAACCCUGCCAAUAGGGCAACCUUCCCUUUGCCUGGAUUUCCCUCCAGCCUGAAAGGCUCCACUGUCGCUCAACAGCUGAUACCUACAGAGUUGAAGGGCCUAAU